AUUGAACGCUGGCGGCAGGCCUAACACAUGCAAGUCGAGCGGAUGAAGGGAGCUUGCUCCUGGAUUCAGCGGCGGACGGGUGAGUAAUGCCUAGGAAUCUGCCUGGUAGUGGGGGAUAGCGUCCGGAAACGGGCGCUAAUACCGCAUACGUCCUGAGGGAGAAAGUGGGGGAUCUUCGGACCUCACGCUAUCAGAUGAGCCUAGGUCGGAUUAGCUAGUUGGUGGGGUAAAGGCCUACCAAGGCGACGAUCCGUAACUGGUCUGAGAGGAUGAUCAGUCACACUGGAACUGAGACACGGUCCAGACUCCUACGGGAGGCAGCAGUGGGGAAUAUUGGGCAAUGGGCGAAAGCCUGAUCCAGCCAUGCCGCGUGUGUGAAGAAGGUCUUCGGAUUGUAAAGCACUUUAAGUUGGGAGGAAGGGCAGUAAGUUAAUACCUUGCUGUUUUGACGUUACCAACAGAAUAAGCACCGGCUAACUUCGUG
rnacentral:rRNA from 1 species